rnacentral:rRNA from 1 species
UGGGGAAUAUUGGACAAUGGGCGAAAGCCUGAUCCAGCGACGCCGCGUGUGUGAAGAAGGCCUGCGGGUUGUAAAGCACUUUCGAUGGGAACGAAAUGUGCCGGGUUAAUACCCCGGUAAGCUGACGUUACUCAAUGAAGAAGCACCGGCUAACUCUGUGCCAGCAGCCGCGGUAAUACGUAGGGACCAAGCGUUGUUCGGAUUUACUGGGCGUAAAGGGCGCGUAGGCGGCAUGACAAGUCACUUGUGAAAUCUCUGGGCUUAACCCAGAACGGCCAAGUGAUACUGUCGCGCUAGAGUGCAGAAGGGGCAAUCGGAAUUCUUGGUGUAGCGGUGAAAUGCGUAGAUAUCAAGAGGAACACCUGAGGUGAAGACGGGUUGCUGGGCUGACACUGACGCUGAGGCGCGAAAGCCAGGGGAGCAAACGGGAUUAGAUACCCGCGUAGUCCCUGAGCGGGCUGGCAAGGCGCAU